rnacentral:rRNA from 1 species
GAUGAACGCUGGCGGCGUGCCUAAUACAUGCAAGUCGAGCGAACAGAUGAGGAGCUUGCUCCUCUGACGUUAGCGGCGGACGGGUGAGUAACACGUGGAUAACCUACCUAUAAGACUGGGAUAACUUCGGGAAACCGGAGCUAAUACCGGAUAAUAUAUUGAACCGCAUGGUUCAAUAGUGAAAGACGGUUUUGCUGUCACUUAUAGAUGGAUCCGCGCCGCAUUAGCUAGUUGGUAAGGUAACGGCUUACCAAGGCAACGAUGCGUAGCCGACCUGAGAGGGUGAUCGGCCACACUGGAACUGAGACACGGUCCAGACUCCUACGGGAGGCAGCAGUAGGGAAUCUUCCGCAAUGGGCGAAAGCUUGACGGAGCAACGCCGCGUGAGUGAUGAAGGUCUUCGGAUCGUAAAACUCUGUUAUUAGGGAAGAACAAAUGUGUAAGUAACUAUGCACGUCUUGACGGUACCUAAUCAGAGAGCCACGGCUAACUACGUG